rnacentral:rRNA from 1 species
AGAGUUUGAUCCUGGCUCAGAUUGAACGCUGGCGGAAUGCUUUACACAUGCAAGUCGAACGGCAGCACGGGGCAACCUGGUGGCGAGUGGCGAACGGGUGAGUAAUACAUCGGAACGUGCCCAAUCGUGGGGGAUAACGUAGCGAAAGUUACGCUAACACCGCAUACGAUCUACGGAUGAAAGCGGGGGAUCGCAAGACCUCGCGCGAAUGGAGCGGCCGAUGUCAGAUUAGGUAGUUGGUGGGGUAAAGGCUCACCAAGCCGACGAUCCGUAGCUGGUCUGAGAGGACGACCAGCCACACUGGGACUGAGACACGGCCCAGACUCCUACGGGAGGCAGCAGUGGGGAAUUUUGGACAAUGGGCGCAAGCCUGAUCCAGCCAUUCCGCGUGCAGGAUGAAGGCCUUCGGGUUGUAAAGCUCUUUCGGCCGGGAAGAAAUCGCAUGGGUUAAUACCCUGUGUGGAUGACGGUACCGGAAUAAGAAGCACCGGCUAACUACGUG